UAGGCAGCUAGACUAAGAUAACAAUGUUUCCUUUGGAGUCACAGAACAGGUCUGUCAGUGUGAUGUGUAUUUCCACCAGGCUGAAUAAUUCUUCUUCAUAGUAUGGGUCAGGACCUGAGGUAUCUCUGAACCACAGGGUGCAAUGUAAUUGGCUCUCGGGCUGUUCAUCAUGUGGAACUGUGGGCUUUUCUACUUGAAGUUCCAUGUGAAC